GGAAGUAUCCCUUUUUCCCUGUCCUCCAGCGGCAGGAUGUGAUCCACUGGCAAGGGAGGACACCAACAAGACAUCCAAUAAGAUAAGUCUUAUAAAAUAUAUAGAUUUAUGAUAAUUAAGACUGAGCUAGCAGAUGAGAAGUCCUAGUCAUUGGCCAAGCAGCAUUGUACCUAAUAUAUCUCUAUAUUAUUUUGUCCGGGCAGAACUCAGGCGGCUGGCAGAGACCGCCCAUGUGGCGGUGGGGCUUGGUCAGCUUUUGACAGAAAGAUUUAUUGUAACAUUAUGUAUAUGGGGGAUUGUCCACUUUAUUAAUGUGGAAGGGUAUAGUCCACUGUAGGUGAUUAUCAUCCCCAAGUGAAGGGUCCUGGGGUUAAAAAAAAAAAAAAAAAAGCCUGUAAGCCAUCACACACACAGCAUUCCUUCAUCCUUUCUGCUCCAAGCUUCUGCUUGAGUUCUUGUCAUGACUUUUUUCAAGAAGGGGCUGUAUGUAAACUUUAAGCUCAAAUAAACUCUUUUCUUUCCUCAGUUGCUUUUUACCAGUGUGUUUUUUCUCAGCACAGAAAGGAAACUAGAACAACUAUGUAUUUUCAUGGCUAAAUUUCUUAAAAUUUUACAUACCUCUAUUUGAACCAUCUUUCCUCUGCCUGGUCCUUAUCCUUCAAAACUUCUCAUAGAAACCUUCCAGGAAAUACAGUUGCCAACACUUGGACUUUUCCAUCUUGACACAUCAUGCCACUGAUAAAGCUAGGGCUGUGUAGUCUCUAAUGAUUUUCUCCUUUACUGUGUCAUCUUGAGUUUACUUGCCCAUUGUUCAGCACAAAAUUGAGGGCUCCUGAGUGCAAGCACAUGCCUUGUUAACCGUGGUAUGUGCAGCAUCUGUCAUGUUGCAGAUACUCAGUGAAUACAAUCUGGGUGAAAUGAAUAAAUGCAUGAAGCAUUUGCUUUAUUUUUUUCUAUUCAAUCUAGGAACAAAACUCAUUUGGUUGAUGAGCUUUUAGGAAGUCAUUCUCAAAGGGAACAAGAAAUCAAUAAAUGAAAAUGGUAACUAAGUGCAAGGAAAGUGUGAAGAUACUGAACAUGACAGGAAAAAUUCUAGUAAACUGUUAUCUUACUCCUCUCUUGAGGUAACAUUUUUCCUUCAACACAACAUACAUUUAAACACUGGAUAAGGCUUUAGGGUGACAAUUUAUUCUACUACUUUGUAAUCCAAACUGAAGUAUAAAUCAAGCAAAACUUUUUCUGGUAUAUGGCAUGUAAUUACUUCAUUUUCAUCUCCUCUUUUUAUAUAUUAAAGAUUCCUAGAAGCAUUAUAAGUUUCCUAUUCAUAGAGAACAACUUACAAACUUUGAUUGUACUUUAUAUAUUGGAGGGUCAGUCUUAUUCAAAGCAUGAAUGAGAAAUUUCUUCCUUGACAGAACCAUGUUUUAGUAAGAAACAGAAGCAGGCCAAGCUGUCAUUUUGAAAGUCUUUGAAGAUAAGAUGACUACUAAUUCUUUAAUCUGAUACCUCAAUAUGUUAUAUCAUAAAUUAAAACAUUUAAAUUAGUUGUUCACUGAGUCUUUCCCAGUUCUGAGUUCUAAUAAUCUUGCCCAUCAUGGAAAAUUGUGUAAAAGUGUGUGAGUGUGUGUGUUUGUGUGUGUGUGUGUGUGUGUGUGUGUGUGUGUGUGUGUGUGUGCGCGCGCGCGCAUGCAUGCAUGCAUGCAUGCAUGCUUGUGUACAUUUAUGUGUAGGUAGAUGUGUGUUGAAGCCACAGGAUAUGUGUCUUAAUUCAUAGGGUUCUACCUUAUCUUUUGAGAUAGAGUUUCUCACUUAACCUAGUACUCAGGUUGACUUGGCUGGCUGCCCAAUGAGCUCCAGAACCUGCCUGUCUCUGACUCCCUCCACUACAUGUUAGGGUUAUAAAGAUCUGAACCAGGUUCUGGAGAUCUGAACCAGGGUCCUCAUACUUGUGCUACAGGCACUUUAGUGUCAUCCAUAUCCCCAGGCUAAUUAUUUCUUUGUAAGAAAAAUUAAGAACCAUUUAGAUAUCUUUAGUUUAAGUAUUCAAUAUUGUGUAAAACUGUUUAUUUAAUUCAACAAUGAUAUGUCAAAUAAAACAUAUAUUUAAACAUAUUUUCUGGAAAAGAAAGAAAUAUGUUAAAGAGAUACUUGUAUCUACAUGAGUACAAUAUAUCCUAAGCAGAGAAAAAUGAUUUUUUUGCCUUAUUUGUAUUGCAGUUCUCUGAGCCCUGUAAUUCAGGUCAAAUGAGGCUUUACAAUGUGACAAAAUGUGGUAAAUAAGCACAGCUGAGAUCUGAUAAGAAGGUGGCAUUUUAAUUUUCACAAAUAACAAAUCUUUUCUAAAUAUGUUUUCAUCACUUUGGUUAAGACUAUAUACUAGCUUUAUGCACUAAGGACACAUUAUUUGAGAACAGUCUACUACCUCUGUGAAUCUAUACGGGGGAAGUAACUAUCUAUUCUUCACCCCCAUCAGAGAUCCAAGAAGGAGAAAAUAUUACCCAAGUAAACAGAAAAUGCAGAGCAAACAACUUCCAAAACUAUAAAAAUGACAGAGACAGCUGGCUGCCUGGAUGGUCACUCAAGGAUCUUGUGAAACACUGGUGCAUACAUAUUCAGCCUACAGGACUGGAAUAUCUCACAGACUUUUCUAUGAAACAGGAAUUUGGAAGGACUUACUUCGUCUUUGCAAAGAUCUCCAGUUGCAUUCAUUUGUGUCCUGCUUGUCCAAUUUGGGCAGCCUACUAUCAGCAGUCAAGGGAAGAGCAGUGUCACAAAGAUAGCAAACUCCAUGCCCAUCAUGUUCUCUAAAAUAAAUUGGUGCUGCCAGAAGAAAAUACAUCUCACUGUCAUAAAAUACCUUAUGUUAUUAAAAUAUAUUAAAUGCCAUAUUCUGUAGAUAUGAAGUGUUUAAAGACCAUCUAUCCAUCUAAAAUACAUCUGUUUGCACUUGAAAACAUAUUUAACAUAGCUAUAAAUUUCACUGUUAUAAGUGACUAACUACUAAUCUGCAUUUCUUAGUUAUACUACAUAAUUUGGAAUAAUAGCUUUCAAGGACUAGAACUUUACCUUACAGUUUUGGAUGAACUUCAUUUUAAGAUCUUACACUAUAAUACCUUAAACAAGAAUAGAAAAAAAUAUAUAAUAUGUUAAAACAAAAACAGCCUUAUAUUUGUAUCAAUAUACAAAAAUCCAUAUCAAUUUAUCAGAUAUCAAAGAGGUUAAAGAACCACAAUCUCUUAAAUACAUUCAGGGUACACAAACUUAGUUCCUAGUUAUCUCGUUAUUCCUUCAGACUCAAGCCAGAAAUCACAUACAGGAAGCUAGAUGAACUUUACUUCUACAAUUAGUUAAUACACCAUAUGACCAUUAAUAUCAAACCUGAAAGUUUAAAUAUAUAUAAUAAUAUCACAGAUUUUGAGCUAAUAUUUAUACAUUAAGAAAUGUUUUAAUAUUCAAAAUAAAACCAAUGGAUUAUGAGAUUAGUAGAAAUAGAAUAGUACCUUAAUUUUUGUUUUUCUUCUGUCCCAUAGCAGGUGACUCUUCUGACAGGAAAGAGAGAUUUGGGGUUUCUUUUAGUGAGCAUACUUGGUUUAGAGAAGGAGAGAGCCACACUACAAGUCAAAGUCCAGCUUUCAUUUUUAAUUGAAUUGGAAACACAAAAGUGUACAGUUUGUCUUUUUUAUUUGUAAAACACAGCAAAAACAAACAUUUGGGAAGAUUUAUAAAAUUCUAUUCUGUUGAAGGUAUGUUAUACAAUUAAGCAAAUCUACUCUUCGCCUUGGGACAUUUUCUCUUGAUGAUUUGCCCUUCUUCUUCCCAUGUUCCCUUUGUCGUGGUCUUUACUUGCUUUUAUUGGAUGCUCUUAUUCUCCUGGAAACAAAACAAACCAAAACCCUGCCCCAAACCUAACUAUGGCAGGUUCCUUUUGGCAGUUUAUAUCUGAUCAAAUGAAGGCAUUUGUUAGUAGUAGAAGGCAUCAGGUAGUUUAGAGUGAAUUGACAUACUGUUUAAUGAACUAUCACCUCUCCUAAUCAAGAUGACUCUUCUAAAAGAAUCUUAUCAUUAUUAAACCUAAUGGUAACCAUAGCUGUUCUUUUCAUAUCAAACGCAAAAUCUCCUCCCCUAUAUAAAACAUAUACUGACUUCCAUUCUGAAGUCAACUUAUCAUUAAAAUAUACAGGCUGAUUUAAUUCAGCAGUUUUUUCUACUAUCCAAUGCCUCUCCACAGCUGUCAUUCCUUUCUCAUCAGCAUUUUAAAAAUUUAUUUAAAGUUACCUGUGUGGUGGUGGUACAUGCCUUUAAUCCCAACAUUUAGGGAAUAGGGGCAGGCAGAUCUCAGUGAGUUUGAGAUCAGCCUGGUCUAAAACAUGAUUGCCAGGACUGUUAUACAGAGAAACCCUGUGUCAAAAAACAAAAAAUAAAGUUAAUAAACCAUUUUAAAUGUAGGGCUGUCAGUACCUUUGGAAGACUAACAGCUGUUGGGCCCAUUUAUGCACAACCUGAAUAGUCAGUGACUAAUUUUGAUAAUAACUUGUAAUAUUUCUCUCAGAAGCAUGUUUUGUUUUAUGGUUUAAUUUCUGAGAUUGGAGGACUAUUAUUCUGUUUUCCAUUGCUGUAACCAAUGAUGUCCCCAUAAUUUCAAACCUAUGUUAGCCACAUAUGACCUUAAUUGCCCUAAAUGUCCUUUCAUCCCUAUACACUCAACUCACCUUAUAUUUUGUUUGACCUGAGAUAAAGUUCCAAUCCCUAGAAGCUGAAUAUCUAACUCCUGAAGUGGUCAAUCUGGAUACCAAGGUUUUGGUGAAAUUAUUGUUACAUCUGCACUUAUGUCAACCACAACUUCAAUUGCAAUGUUAUUUAUUCAUAUUUUUAGCUUUUGUCUUUGAUGAUUUAUUAAAAUUUGAAAAACAGCUGUCUUAUUCUUUCUCCUGAAAGUUUUUGUUUCAUCUAAUAAAAUCAUUCUAUCAUCUAGAGCAGUAUGGUUUUUUAACAAUAAGCAUUAAGUCCUUAAUUGAUCCAUGGAUGAACUUCCAAUGCUAUCAGAGAAUGAUUGAACCAAAUUUGAUAUUGGGGCCUGCAAAAGUCUUCCUAAGGUAUUUCCAGAUAGAAAAGGGUUACCUUGCCUGUCCCUUGUUAAUUUGCAUUCAUUCGUCCAAUGCAGGCUUUGCCAUGCUUUCUGCAUAUUCUGGAAGGCUAGGGACUUCUGUUUGAAUUGGCUCUAGAAAAAAAAAAACACAUUGUUUCUAGGAAUGCUUAGCCUACCGGUCCUCUACAGAUGGUCUUGUUUGCCACAACCAAAACACCUGACAUUUUGCUUUUUCUUCAAAUUUUUAGAAAUCACUUUUCCUAUCAAACUAGUAUCAUAAGUGUGAGAUUCAAUAUUAGCUGUAUUUCUGAUCCAUUUACCUAUGGGUACUGAUCUUGCUUUUAAAGGCCUAAUCACUCCUUUUCAUUCUGUGGUAGAAUGAAAAGACAAAGAUGCAAUUAGUAUUUGUCUAACUUCUGCAUGUAAUAUUAUAUUUACAGCGGAAGUAAAUAUUUGAAAAAAAAGCAGUGAACACUUCUUUGGGGGUAUAUAAUUUUGGUAAAUUACUCAGUCCUCUUUCCUAAUUCUUUAGCCCUCUCCCAAGUAUUCAAAGCAGCUAAAGACAUAAUGCCAAGAUGUAGCCAAUGAAUUCAAUUCAGUAUAUGGGCCUUCACCAAGAAACUUGUCUAUGAAAUAUCAGUGGCUCUACCCUAUUUCAUUAUUCUAUGGCCCUAGCUCCCUCUUUCCACCAUGUUCUCCAUUGUAACUGAGAAUGAGCCUCCAAUAUUACUGUAGCUAAGUCUUUUCAGUCUUGGGGGUAAUUCAGUUUUGAGUUGUACAGGAAUUUAACAUCUGUUUCAUAUAGGAAAAAUGCAUACCAUAUGAAAUUACUGCUUCCUUAAAUCUCUUCAAAUCUAACAUUAUACAGGAUUCCAUUUAACUUCUACACAACAUUGGGGCUGUCUAUUGUCCAAUGAUCAUUCUUAUAUAGUAACUAGAUAAACUCAUGUUGCUUUUCUAAUAACUUUGGACCACUCCUCUUCAGUUUCAUUAUGCAGUGCUAUGGUAGGUACUGCUCUAUAUUUCAGCAUCUCUGUGUGAAUAUUUUUCUUAAGUUUCAUUAGUAGGUCUCCCUAAAGCUUGUACCUUAGUAAUAUAAACCUUUCUAAGACAUAUUUUAUCAGUCAGCUGGUUUUUUUCCCAAGUCAGGGUUUCUCUGUGUAGCUUUGGAGCCUAUCCUGGCACUUGCUCUGGAGAUCACAGUGAUAUGCCUGCCUCUGCCUCCCGAGUGCUGGGAUUAAAGGCGUAUGCCACCAAUGCUUGGUCCUUAUCAGUCAACUUUUAAUAUUUGGCUUAGUUAUUAAACCACUUUUUAAAGGAUAGCUAUGAAUUACCAGUUAACAGUUAUACUCAACAUUAUGCUGAUCCAACUUAAGUCUGCUAUUCCUUCUUUUAUUUUUUUCAAUUUUAAACCACCCAUUGUGGAACUAUACAGAGUCCUAACACUCUGAAUUGGAAUAAUAUUCCCCAUUCUUAAUGUGGGGAUUUUAAAAAAUCCUAAUUAUAACCUAGGUUAGGAAUAUAACCUAAUUCCCUCCCUAGGAAUUCCCAGGUGUCUCUCCAGAUCUAUUGACUUUUUAGUUUGUGCACAGCAUUGGUAGCUGUGAUGACUGAGGAUGGGAUGUCUGGCAACAGCAACAGAAUCAGAACAGGCAUGAACAGGUAUUGAGGUGGCUGGGUUGGCAGGUGGGUAGUCCAGGGAGCAGAUGCAGGGAAAGCCCCUGACCCAUGUGAAGGGAAAUGAGCCUGAGAUGUGGACCCAAUGAAACCUGCAGUAGAAGCCCAUGUGGC
rnacentral:lncRNA from 1 species